rnacentral:rRNA from 1 species
UGAGUAACCUGCCCUUGACUCUGGGAUAAGCCUGGGAAACUGGGUCUAAUACUGGAUACUACCUCUUGCCGCAUGGUGGGUGGUGGAAAGGGUUUUACUGGUUUUGGAUGGGCUCACGGCCUAUCAGCUUGUUGGUGGGGUAAUGGCUCACCAAGGCGACGACGGGUAGCCGGCCUGAGAGGGUGACCGGCCACACUGGGACUGAGACACGGCCCAGACUCCUACGGGAGGCAGCAGUGGGGAAUAUUGCACAAUGGGCGGAAGCCUGAUGCAGCGACGCCGCGUGAGGGAUGACGGCCUUCGGGUUGUAAACCUCUUUCAGUAGGGAAGAAGCGAGAGUGACGGUACCUGCAGAAGAAGCGCCGGCUAACUACGUGCCAGCAGCCGCGGUAAUACGUAGGGCGCAAGCGUUGUCCGGAAUUAUUGGGCGUAAAGAGCUCGUAGGCGGUUUGUCGCGUCUGCUGUGAAAGCCCGGGGCUCAACCCCGGGUCUGCAGUGGGUACGGGCAGACUAGAGUGCAGUAGGGGAGACUGGAAUUCCUGGUGUAGCGGUGAAAUGCGCAGAUAUCAGGAGGAACACCGAUGGCGAAGGCAGGUCUCUGGGCUGUUACUGACGCUGAGGAGCGAAAGCAUGGGGAGCGAACAGGAUUAGAUACCCUGGUAGUCCAUGCCGUAAACGUUGGGCACUAGGUGUGGGGGACAUUCCACGUUUUCCGCGCCGUAGCUAACGCAUUAAGUGCCCCGCCUGGGGAGUACGGCCGCAAGGCUAAAACUCAAAGGAAUUGACGGGGGCCCGCACAAGCGGCGGAGCAUGCGGAUUAAUUCGAUGCAACGCGAAGAACCUUACCAAGGCUUGACAUUCACCGGACCGCCCCAGAGAUGGGGUUUCCCUUCGGGGCUGGUGGACAGGUGGUGCAUGGUUGUCGUCAGCUCGUGUCGUGAGAUGUUGGGUUAAGUCCCGCAACGAGCGCAACCCUCGUUCUAUGUUGCCAGCACGUGAUGGUGGGGACUCAUAGGAGACUGCCGGGGUCAACUCGGAGGAAGGUGGGGAUGACGUCAAAUCAUCAUGCCCCUUAUGUCUUGGGCUUCACGCAUGCUACAAUGGCCGGUACAAAGGGUUGCGAUACUGUGAGGUGGAGCUAAUCCCAAAAAGCCGGUCUCAGUUCGGAUUGAGGUCUGCAACUCGACCUCAUGAAGUCGGAGUCGCUAGUAAUCGCAGAUCAGCAACGCUGCGGUGAAUACGUUCCCGGGCCUUGUACACACCGCCCGUCAAGUCA